GAAAGAGAAGAAUCCGAAUUUUUUUUUCGAGCUUGAACUCGAGGACAAUCAGUCCAUUAAGCUUGCUUUUUGGGCAGAUGCAAGGAGCAGAGCUGCCUGUGAGUAUUUUAGAGAUGUUAUUUCAUUUGACACCACCUACAAUACAAACAGGUAUAAUCUGGUUUGUGAUUUUUUUGUCGGGGUGAAUCAUCACGGUCAGUCAAUACUUCUUGGAUGUGCUUUGAUGAAAAACGAAGAAAUUAAAUCAUUCAAAUGGUUAUUUCAAUAUUGGCUUCAUUGCAUGGGAGGAAAUGCUCCAAAAGGGAUUCUCACCAAUCAAUGCGCGUCAAUGAAAAGGGCUCUCGAGGCUUGUAUGCCCACAAUAAUUCACCGUUGGUGUAUUUGGCACAUCACGAAGAAGAUUCCAAGCAAAUUAAACGGGUACAAGGGACAU